UUACUUAUAAAAUACCUAUUUACAAAUAAUAAAUGCAACCAUUCUAUUAAAAUGACAAUUCAUUAAAAUAACUUCUCCAUCAUUCACAUAAAAAAAAAAAAUUUGAACCCAUAUGUAAAAAAAAAUAUAUCCAUUUGUAUAUACUAUCAACUAUUACUACAAAUUCUUCACCGUUCUCCAUUGUUGAUACACAUAAACCUCACUGAAGCUCUUGCAGUAAUGAGUAACAACUUCUUUGUCAUCGUCAACACACAUUUGCUUUAUAUAUAUUUUCAUGAAAACAUCUGCAAAAUAAAAGUAUUCACCAGUCAAGUCAUUAAUAGGUUCAUCGUACAAAAACUUAUACAUGGAUCAGAAGUAAAUUAACCACGUAGAUAAUGAAAUCUAAAUAAAUCAAAAGUUUAUAUCAUCCUGGCUAGCAUUCACUCACAUCAUGAUUCUGAAAAAUUGUUUGUAUGUCCGUCAAAAUGUUUGCAUGUAUUUUAAAUUAACUGAAAAAUAUGAUGGAAAAAGUUCAUUAGGUGGUUAAAUAUAAUCAUUUGAGCAAUAAAAUAAGAAUGACAAGGGGAAAUAAAAUUCCUAAAGAAGCUAAAGCAUCAUUUAGGCAAAAUAAAAGUAAUAUAUAAACUAGUGUUUGACAGAAACCUACUGAUACAACAAGAGAUAAAGGGACAACCUCGAGCAAAAAAGACCUGCAAUUAAUAAUAUAAUCAGUGUAAUUAAAAAAUUAAGCCACAUACCAUUGUAUGAAAAAGUAUUAUUGGCCAAUAAUCUUUCACACAAAUGCAUACACUUGAGCAGUAUAUAUUCUAGACAAUACCACUACCAAAUUAAACAUCUCAUUAGAAAGAAGAAGAAUAUAUAAUAGAAGAAAUUAAAUGAUCAUUAGCUCGUAGAUGUUACCGGAGAUCUAUUUGCUCCUUGGAUCAUCGCUGAUCAAUACCAGUACCAUAUUAAAUGACCAUAGAAGAAAUUAAGUGAUCAAUACCAGUACUAUAUUAUUGUUUUAUGUGUGUUCCCCAUGUGUAGGUAAUUUUUUCCCCUCUCAGUCCACUGGAGAAAAAAAAAUUCAGCACGAAACCAUAAUAACAAUCAUAACUUAAAAAUGAAAAUAGCCGGCUGAUCCAUCAUGCUUUAGCGAGUUCAGGUUAAGAAAUUAAUGAGUAGACUUACUAAGAAAUUAACAUCAAUUCUAAAGUAAACUGAAGAAAUGUUUUGCUAGAGUAUCAUACAAUCACUUCAUUUUUCCGUCUAUGUAAGAGGCUGGAAAUUAGUAGAAAACUAAAUUUUAAUACCGACUUAAUAGAAACAAAUAUCGUCGAGUAUGAUUAAAAGAAUGGAGUUCUAGAAUAACACAGGGUAAAGGCACAUGAUUUCAACCUAGAUUUAUCUAGAAUAAUUUUGCACCAUAUAUCCUCAGACAAAUAUAAUCCCAACAUUUGUUGAGUAUAAAUGGAAAACAAUAAUUUAUGACAAUCCACAAAAACGAAUCCCCUUUUAAACUGAAAAAUGAGAAAUCUCCUUUUACUUCCAUAGUUUACUCCCCAAACUACAACUACCAGAUCAUAAGUACCAAUUGUAAUGGUGAAAAAAAUUUCCCUUCACCUGUAAUGUUUUUGUUCAGAAAUUGGUAACAAAAUGAGUAACACAACAAUAAUUGGUAACAAAUUCAAUUUAGAGCUUUUCAGCAUAAAUCCUAACAAUUGAUCAGAGAAUGGGAGAUGAAAACGAGAAAGAGAGUAAGAAGAAGAGAAAAUACAAUGAUAGUCAUACAAUGACUGAGAACAAAAUUCGAUUUAUAGAUUUUCAACGAAAAUCCUAACAUUCAAUUGAACAGAGGAUUCGAUUUAGAGUUUCUUCAGUGAAAACCCUAACAUUUAAUCGAAAAGGGGAGUGUCAAUUCAAGAGAAACAAAUAAAAAGAUCCCUUACCUAAACCGAUGGAGCAACUGGUGGUGGCUGAGGAACAUGCUGGCGGUGGGUGGUGGAUGUUAUUCGCCGUGUGAGGAAGAGCAGAGAUAAUAUUUGAUUUUGUUCAGCGGAGGAGAGGAA
rnacentral:lncRNA from 1 species